rnacentral:rRNA from 1 species
UACGAAGGGGGGCUAGCGUUGCUCGGAAUCACUGGGCGUAAAGCGCACGUAGGCGGAUCUUUAAGUCAGGGGUGAAAUCCUGGAGCUCAACUCCAGAACUGCCUUUGAUACUGGGGAUCUCGAGUCCGGAAGAGGUGAGUGGAACUCCGAGUGUAGAGGUGAAAUUCGUAGAUAUUCGGAAGAACACCAGUGGCGAAGGCGGCUCACUGGUCCGGUACUGACGCUGAGGCGCGAAAGCCAGGGGAGCAAACGGG